UACCAGCCUAAAACAAGGAUUUGUAGUUAUGAUGGGAAGCAAAGCAAAAGCAAUGGGGUCUGGGCUGACUCCUCUUCUUGCCACUGUUUUAGUGGUGUUUGUUGCUCUUGGCUUGCCCUCAGAAACUGCAGCUGAUGAUCACUACAAGUAUUCAUCUCCUCCUCCUCCUUACACUAUCCCUCACCACCACCUCCAGUGCAUAUACCUCCACCUCAUCCUGUUUACAAGUACAAAUCUCCACCACCCCCACCACCACACCCAGUUUACAAGUAUAAGUCACCACCACCACCUCCUCAUCCGGUACCACACCCAGUUCCUCAUCCGGUGCCACACCCAGUUCCUCAUCCGGUGCCACACCCAGUUUACAAGUAUAAGUCACCACCACCACCUCCUCAUCCGGUACCACACCCAGUUCCUCAUCCGGUACCCACACCCAGUUUACAAGUAUAAGUCACACCACCACCUCCUCAUCCGGUACCACACCCAGUUUACAAGUAUAAGUCACCACCACCACCUCCUCAUCCGGUAUACAAGUAUAAGUCUCUCCGCCACCAACACCCAGUUUACAAGUAUAAGUCACCACCACCACCUCCUCAUCCGGUGCCACACCCAGUUUACCACUACAAGUCACCACCACCACCUCCUCAUCCGGUACCACACCAGUUUACCAUACAAGUCACCACCAAUCCUCACCCAGUUUACAAAUACGAGUCUCCACCACCUCCAGUUUAUAAGUACAAGUCACCACCACCUCCUCCACCAGUUUACAAGUAUAAAUCUCCUCCACCACCACCACCAGUUUACCACUACAAGUCUCCACCACCUCCUCCCCCAGUUUACAAAUACAAGUCUCCACCACCUCCUCACCACUACUAAGCAAUUGCUUCUGAGGUAAUAACACUUGUUCAAUAUACCCACUUCUGCAUGAUAAAGCAUAUCUCUAUCAACACAAACUGUCAUGUCUAUCAUGCUAAGUGCCUUCACUUCAUCCACCAAAAUGACUGCUAGAAAAUUUUUUUUAUGUUACCAAAGAAAGGCAUCAUUUUUUCCCUCUGUUAUCAAGAACUUGUACAGUAUAUAGAUUAAAGAGUUUUUAUUUUAACUAGCUUAUCAACUUAGAAAUGCAUAUAGCUGAUAACCAGCUGAAUAUUUGCAGGCAAAGGAGAAGGAAACCAUGUUUGAGACCUUCUUGAAGAUGUAGAAGCAUAAGAAUAAAAGCCCAAUGUGAAGAUGAUGAUUUCAAGUUUUUCUACGUUACCAUUUCUUUAUCUAAAUUGGUUGUAGCGCCCAAGUUCCUUUGUUUAUGGGAUUUGUAUCGUUUUACGUACCAUGCAGUACAUGUCAUGUUUGUAAGGUUUUCUAUCCUGCCGGCAAACCGCAGGUUCCAUGUGAUAAAUGAAUACUAUUUAUGUUACGACACUUUUCUCUGUUUCUCUUAUAUUUUGUCUUUAAUAUUCUUAAUCAUAUUUUUAACAAAAAUAUUCAAACA
rnacentral:lncRNA from 1 species